UGGCUGCUAACAGACAGAUGAUGUAGGUUGGCACCCGAGAACCCAACCUGGGCCGUUGAAGCAGAGCAUGCCGAACUUAACCACUAGGCCACGGGGC